CCGUCGCUGCUGCUAAGUCCCUUGACAUAUGGACUUUCAUUGACAACGACCACAGUACAGCAACGGCCAUAACCGACAUGACCGGCGGCAUGUUCCCAACAGCCAGCAACCGCAAGCCUUUUGUUCCGCUUCCAUCGACCGCCGGACAUCGUCGCACGUGUCCCCGUAGUUGUCUAAAAGCAUCACAGGGCCAAAAACACCUGCCUCGCACCUCGAUUCGAAGGCCAUGAUAUAAAGAGGGUUGUCAGGUGAGAGGAGGAGGUGCAGUAUUGGACCCUGUUGCAGUUCGGGGUAUUUAGCGGUUUGCACUGCAUCAUUAAUUUUGAUGCUCUGCUGUUGCCGAUGUUGUUGCACUGGUGUGUCUGGUGUGCUGCCAAUGAAGGGAGUUGCCUUUGGGGUACAUAGAUGUUGAAGAACUUUUUGCAAGGUUAAGUGAGGGGAGGAGGUGGGUUGAAAGUGUCAGUCUACAAGGGUCAUCUACAGCUUUGUGGUUUCAAGAGAUCGGCCAGCAAAUAAAGUGAGUUUUGAGAAAUUAAUAAACUUGAAUUCAAUUAUUCGUACUCUGUAGUUCGCCAUCUCUAUGCUCAGCAUUUUUAAUAUCGUGUAUAACUUUUUCAACAUCAUUGCUAAAUCCAAUUAUUUGUUAUUUAUCCAAUUAAACUCAGCCCCAUCGAUUCACCUAAACCCCUUGCCAUUUUCCCAUCCCAGUGACCAGUCAGCCAAAUCGCUGACAAUUUCAUCAAUUUGCUAGACACGACUCUGCCAUGCCAGAGCAUUCGGUCAGGGAAUGAAUCAAAGCCAGCCCGCAAUCUUGCCACCAGUUCCAAUUUUUGCCUUAUCACCCGGCACAAAAGGCGGUUCUCUAAUUAGCCACUGACUGGCUGACUCCCAGACGUCCCCCGCCGACUGGUCAUAGCGGAUUCACCAAUUCACCGAUUCACAGACUCACCCAUUCUCCAAUCCUCAAUCCUUGUCAGACUUUUCAGAGGAGGCGGCGAUGGGAAAGGCAUGCAAUUGGCAUGACAUUGCCAUGUUCCAGCUGGGACAAAGCCCGAAAACCGAAUUGAAAACCAAGGAGUGGGACUGCAAGCUAGUGCUGAUGGAAUAGCUCAGCCAUGGCGUUGGGGUCUGAGUUGGAGUCGCCACCGGUGUGGCAUGUGGAUGCCAUGUUGAUGCCGGCACGUAAUGAGCGCAUUACGCACUUCGAGGCAGUCGAGGGAACGAAGCCAGGAGUUGCCUGAUAACAAGACAGCCCUUACAACCUGCCUUAUUUGCCACCUUUACACGCGGAAAAAUAAGUAUGCGCAUGUACAUUGUAAGG
ensembl:ncRNA lncRNA:CR43914 long non-coding RNA:CR43914